UUAAAAUAGUAUGAACUAUCCCCUGGUUUUUGCCCACUGUUUCCUGCUUUCCAGUGAGAAACCUAGCACCCAACGUCAUCAUGGUAUUUACCAUGUUGCAAUACAGAAAGCAUUUGGAGAAUUGCUAAUCUAUUCCACUGUGAAAAACAACCUGCUGAGAAAUGCUGCUUCCACCCAGCAACCUGCUGCCUUGAAUAACCAGAAAACGAAAUAAGAUACAUGAGACAACCAUUUCCAACCUUAAACAAUAGUCAGCACAGGAAGAAAAUAACACUGGAAAGACCGGAAAGAAACUAAGCCAGCCAUACAAUUACAUAGCUUACUGCUUGGAAGAAAUUUCCAGGCCGCAGCACAGAAAAGGGAAUAUCAAACAGAGACCAGCAAUUUUGCUGAUUUGAGUAGACAGAGACUGUAGAUUUGAGAGGCCAAGGCAGCUAGAAUUUGCAAUGCAGACUACCAGAGAUAAGGGAACUGCAGGGAGAGUUCCAGAGAUCUACAGGGGGUCCUCUCAUAUCUUUGCCUCAAUAUUAAUCUGUGACUGUGUGUGGCUAAAUCUCCACAGGACUGGGAAAGGAACCACUAGAAAACAGAACUACAAAAGAUUCCUAGAGUUCACACACGUAUAGUAAAUUUUAUACCGCCACCAGCAAAAUUAGAGAGAGUAAUGCAUGGGUGUUGGGCAGAGAUCAUGGAAGGAUGCUGCUUUGGAAGUUAGAGUAAGCUAACCCUAGAUGAGAGGCUGCCGUGGAUCUUCUGCCAAAAAAAGCUGACAAGUGGACUUCAAAAGAAUAAGCUGAUUGUAGGCAGUAUCACAGAGCGCUAGACCAAGUUUCUACAUUCCCCGAAGCGAUAAACAGCACUCAAUAGCAUUAACGUUUAUAAUGCCUGGCAUUCAACGAAGUACCGUUUAUACAAAAUAAGCAUAAUAAUAAAACCCAUAACCAGGAGAAAACUCGGUUAAUAGAAACAUACCCAGUAAUAACAGAGAUUAUGGAAUUUGCAGAUAAAAGCAUUAAGACAGAACACACACACACACAUUUGUUCAAGAUGUAUAGGAAAACAUGAGCAUGAUGGCAAGAGAAAUGUAAUAUGAAGAAAAAAAUCCAAAUUGAGCUUCUGGAGAAUAAAAAUACACAAUGUGAAACAGAAAGUUAGCAGAUUACACUGUGAACACACACACACACCUACACACACACACAGAUUAGUAAACUUGAAGAUAUAACAAUAAAACCUAAACAAAAUGAAGCACACAGGAAAGAUGGAAAAAAUGAGCAGAGCAUCAGGACUUGUGAGAGAAUAUCCAGUGGUCCAAAACAAAUGUAAUCGUCCUACACACAGAGAACAGAGAAGGGGGUGUAGAAAAAUUAUUUGAAGAAUAGUAAAAAUUUUUGAAAUUUGUUAAGAACUAUAAACCAAUAGAUUCAAGAAGAUGAACAAACUUCCAGCAGAAGAAAUAUGAAGGAAACAACACGGGGUCACAUAUUAAUCAGAUUGCUGCAGAAAGAAAAUCUUAAAAGCAGUUUACAUAAGAGGAACACAGAAACAUAUUACAUAAUUAUUUAGGCGUCAUUGUCUUAAUCCCUUUGCUACAAAGGGAUACCUGAGGUUUUAUAAUUUAUAACGGUUAUAAUUUCUUACGGUUCUGCAGAUUGUACAGGAAGCAUGGUGCCAGCCUCUGCUUGUGGUGAGGCCUCAGGAGCUUCCACUCAUGGUGGAAGGUGAAGGGGAGCAGGCAUCACAUGGUGAGAAGAAGAAAGAGAAAAGAGGAAGGUGCCAGCCUCUUUUUGACAAAUCAGAUCUCGAGGUUGACCAAUAGAAUGGGAAGUCCUUUAUUACCAUGAAGACAGUACCAAGCCAUAUACAAGGCAACCGCUCCCAUGACCCAAACGCCUUCCACUAGGCACUUCCUCCAACACUGAGGAUCAAAGUUCAAUAUUAGAUUUGGUGGGGAGAAAUUCCCAAACUGUUUCAGUCAUAAAGAUAAGAAUGGCAGCAUACUUUGCAUCAGAAAAAAAUGCAAGCCAGAAGAAAAUGGAAUGACAUCUUUAAAGUACUAAAAGUAAAGUAUUCUCAAAUGAGAAUUUUAUAACUAAUGAAUACAUCUUUCAAAAAUGAAAGUGGUCUUUUGCUUUUGAGUAUGAGGGACUAAAGCUCUAGCUGAUAACAUCCUCCUUCAGGAAACAACUAUAAACCCAGAACGCAAUACAAAGAAACAUUUCUACUCAAAUGUGCUGUGCUAGAAAGUAAGCAGAGGUAGUUAAGCUUUACUAAAAGCAGUAGGGGAGGACUCCUUACUUAAGGGGUGGAGACGUGGAUUAUGAAUCUAUGAGGUUUAGCCUAUGCUAAAUGCAGUCUGCCUAGCAAGCACAGUGGCAGCACAGUCUCACAUGGAAAAACCUAUAGCCUUUCUGCCUAGGAAACGAGAAAGUCAAUCUGAGACACUGCAGACACUGCAGAGAGCAGAGAAAUUGUUGAAGAGGCAGAGAAGGGAUACUCCACCCUCUCUACCCACAACUCUGAUUGACCUGUGUAUUAGUCUGCUCUUCCAUUGCUAUAAAGUACUACCUGAGACUGGAUAAUUUAUAAAGAAAAGAGGUUUAAUUAGCUGACAGUUCUGCAGGCUGUGCAGGAAGCAUGGCUAUGGAGGCCUCAGGAAACUUACAAUCAUGGCAGAGGGUGAAGGAGAAGAGGGCACAUCUUCACAUGGCUGGAGUAGGAGGAAAAGAGAGAAGGGAGAAGUGCCAUACACUUUGAAACGACCAUAUCUUGUGAGAAUUCACUUAAGGAGAACUCACUGUUUUGAGAACAGCAAGGGGGAAAUCCAUCCCCUUGAUCCAAUCACCUCUCACCAGGCCCCUCCUCUGACAUUGGGAUUACAGUUCGAAAUGAGAUUUGGGCAAGGACACAAAUCCAAACCAUAACAAUCUGAAACACACAUGUGCAGAGCAGACUCAUGCAGCUUAGCUAGAAGCAAAGUAUCUGAAUGAAGCUAUCCCAAGAUAGAGAGUUUAAAGUUCAAACUCAGCCAAGAAAAUUACUUGCCAAAACAAAGAGAACACAGGUUUUCAGAGAAAAUAACAGAAUCCAGAAUGCCAACACUUCAAUACUCACAAUUUCUAAAAUAUAGUCCAAAGUUAAAUGACAUAUGAAAAAACAAGAAAAUAAAAUACAUUCUGAAGAGGGAAGAAAAGAUAAAUAAUUUAGCAAGAACUCAAAUGACAAAAAUGUUAAAACUAUAUUUUAAAGAGGUUGUUAUAAUUAUCCUAAAUAAAGGAAAACAAGACGUAUU
rnacentral:lncRNA from 10 species